GACGGAGGAUGCAAGUGUUAUCCGGAAUCACUGGGCGUAAAGCGUCUGUAGGUGGUUUUAAUAAGUCAACUGUUAAAUCUUGAGGCUCAACCUCAAAAUCGCAGUCGAAACUAUUAGGCUAGAGUAUAGUAGGGGUAAAGGGAAUUUCCAGUGGAGCGGUGAAAUGCGUAGAUAUCGGAAGGAACACCUGUGGCGAAAGCGGCUCACUGGACCAUAACUGACGCUGAGGCGCGAAAGCUAGGGGAGCAAACAGG
rnacentral:rRNA from 1 species